AUUUUGUUUAUUUUUACGAACAGAUUAAAACAUAUUUAAUUUCAUUUAAAUCACUUUUAUUUAUUUUUAUAACAUUUUAUAUUUUGCAUAUUUUUAUUUUUUUAAAAAUUAAUUUUAGUAACAACUAUAUCUCCCUGUUGUAACAAACAUAAGUUACAAGAAUUAUUUUAAGGCCUACAAUCAUACUUUUCAUCUUUUUAUUUUAAAAAAACAAAAAAAUGGUUAAUAAAAUAUUUAGUAAAAGCUUUUUUAAAAAGGGGGAAGUAAAAAAAACUGAAAAAAAUGCAGAAAAAACAGAAAGCAAAGUAGAUGUAAAAUUCACUGAGUCCACGGAAGCUGAGAGUGAGUCGACGUCAUCUGUGGCUGUAACAAAAAAAGAAAUAAACAACAAGAAUAAGAAAACAAAA